UUGAUUGGUGAUGUUUUGAUGAAUGAUGAUGACAUUUUUGGAAAGAGGGGAUCAAAUGUGACUUGUUGCAAAAAACCCCACCCAAUUUGGCCAAAUGGUUUGAGAGAUAUGGCCUUUUGAAGUUCAAAAUUUUCUGAAAAUGAUUUGAUCAUAACUUGCCAACCAUACAUGGGAAUUGAGUUUUCUUGGACUUUUUGGAAAUGGAAGAAC
rnacentral:lncRNA from 1 species